UUCGUGGAGGACUAGUGGUUAGGCCUUGGUGCUCUCACCGCCGAGGCCCAGGUUCGAUUCCCGGCCAGGGAA
rnacentral:tRNA from 1 species